GGACACGUCGAUUCAGGCGAGUCUACCACUACUGGUCACCUGAUCUACAAAUGUGGCAGCAUCGACAAAAGAACUAUUACGAAAUUCGAGAAGGAGGCUGCUGAGAUGGGAAAGGGCUCCUUCAAGUAUGCCUGGGUCUUGGAUAAACUGAAAACUGAGUGUGAACAUGGUGUCGCCAUUGAUAUCUCCCUGUGGAAAUUUGAGACCAGCAAGUACUAUGUCACUAUCACUGAUGCCCCAGGACACAGAGACUUCAUCAAAAACAUGAUUACAGGCACAUCUCUGGCUGACUGUGCUGUCCUAAUUGUUGCUGUUGGUGUUAGUAAAUUUGAAGCUAGCGUCUCCAAAACAGGCAGACCUGUGAGCAUGCCCUCCUGGCUUACACACUGGUGUGAAGCAACUAAUUGUUGGUGUUAACAAAAUGGAUUCCACUGAGCCACCCUAUAGCUAGAAGAGAUACAAAUAAAUUGUUAAAGAAGUCAGCACUUACAUUAAGUGCACUGGCUACAAUCCUGACACAGUAGCAUUUGUGCCAAUUUCUGGUUGGAAUGGUGACAACAUGCUGGAGCCAAGUGCUAACAUGCCUUGGUUCAAGGAAUGGAAAGUCACCUGUAAGGAUGGUAAUGCCAGUGGAACCAUGCUGUUUGAAACUCUGGACUGCAUCCUGCCACCAACUCGUUCCACUGACAAGCCCUGGCAUCUGCCUCUCCAGGAUGUCUACAAGAUUGGCGGUAUUGUUACUGUCUCUGUGAGCCAAGUGGAGACAGGGGUUCUCAAACCUGGCGUGAUGGUCACCUUUGUUCCAGUCAAUGUUACAACUGAAAUAAAGUCUGCUGAAUUGCACCAUGAAGCUUUGAGUGAAGCUCUUCCUGGGGACAACGUGGGCUUCAGUGUCAAGAAUGUGUUUGUCAAAGAUAUUAGUCAUGGCAGUGUUGCUGGUGACUGUAAAAAUGAUCCAUCAAUGGAAGUAGCUGGCUACACAGCUCAGGUGAUUAUCCUGAACCAUCCAGGCCAAAUCAGUGCUGGCUAUGUCCCUGUACUGGAUUGUCACGCGGCUCACAUUGCAUGCAAGUUUGCUGAGCUGAAGGAAAAGAUUGAUCGCUGUUCUGAUAAGAAGCUGGAAGAUGGCCCUAAAUUCUUGAAGUCUGUUGGUGCUGCCAUCGUUGAUAUGGUUCCUGGCAAGCCCAUGUAUGUGGAGAGCUUCUCUGACUAUCCUCCUCUGGUUCAUUUUGCCAUCUGUGGUUUGAGGCAGACAGUUGCCGUGGGUAUCAUCAAAGCAUGGACAAGAAGGCUGCUGGCAAGGUCACCAAGUCUGCCCAGAAAGCUCAGAAGGCUAAAUGA